UGGCUCAGUUGGUAGAGCAUGUGACUCUUGAUCCCAGGGUCGUGAGUUCAAGCCCCAC
rnacentral:tRNA from 1 species